UUUCUACUGUAUAUAAUAUUAUCCAUUUCAGUUUUACUUCCUCUUAUUUUUUCUUUUUCUUUUUCUUUUCCUUUUUUUUUUUUUUUUGAUUUGUUUUUAUUUUUCUCUCUAUUCCCUCGUAGGCGCGAGUGGUAAUAUGGAAGUGGGGGGUCACGAUCAUAUAUCAGGAUAUAUCUCAAGUAUAAUUCUGACGAUGCCAGAUGCGAAGGAGACGACGAUCGACCAGCCGAUGCAGGGUCAAACUAUAUGCGAUCUGAUGCAGCCUCGAGCUCGCUCGAAAUCAAAUAUAGUAAACGUCACACCGGCCGGAUUUCCUCCAUAAUAAACUUGGGUGAAAAUACAAAUCCAAAAGAAGACAAAAAAGAUAGGGAAAGAAAAGUACGCGCACUGUACAGGAAUCCUUGGUGGCAGCUGCCGUGUGAUCUCGUCGACUUAUGUACAUUUCAU
rnacentral:misc_RNA from 1 species